CGGUUAACUGCCAAGCAGGCAUACGCGCGAGUGCUCAAGCAAGUUGUAUUUUUGUGAUUGAUUGCCUGACCGACGGGAAUAGAUCAAAACGAAGUGCAGUGCAGUGGGUGUUGAUUAUGGCUUAGGGCCAGUUAUGGAAGCCUGCAGCUGGUUAGCCCAUAUUUGGUAUCUGCACCGAGAAGCAACAGUGAUGGAGUAGAGUUUAGAUUUGCUUAGAGAUCGGCCUUUCAUUCGCUGCAAAAAUUAUGUAGCGGCUUGUGAGAGCAACAUCCCAAGACGACGGCGAAUUGAAGUGGCUGGCUUGGAUCGCUGGCAGAGGCCAGCAAUCAUCUUGGGUCUGUCCGGACAGACAUGACGGUUUGCAGUCGCCGAGGGAUACAUUUUUACACUGACACACACACAUACUAAACUUAAGGUUAAGGAAAUUAAGCGUAAGUACUAAAAUACAUUUUUAUUGCAUGUAAAAUUUAUGUUUUUACUUCGAUACGGUGAUUCCGAAUAGUGUUAUUUUUUU